GAGUAAAGCUGAUCCAUUGACAGGACAAAUU
rnacentral:piRNA from 1 species